rnacentral:rRNA from 1 species
AGUGAACGCUGGCGGUAGGCCUAACACAUGCAAGUCGAACGGCAGCACAGUAAGAGCUUGCUCUUACUGGUGGCGAGUGGCGGACGGGUGAGGAAUACAUCGGAAUCUACUUUUUCGUGGGGGAUAACGUAGGGAAACUUACGCUAAUACCGCAUACGACCUACGGGUGAAAGCAGGGGAUUUUCGGACCUUGCGCGAUUGAAUUAGCCGAUGUCGGAUUAGCUAGUUGGCGGGGUAAAGGCCCACCAAGGCGACGCUCCGUAGCUGGUCUGAGAGGAUGAUCAGCCACACUGGAACUGAGACACGGUCCAGACUCCUACGGGAGGCAGCAGUGGGGAAUAUUGGACAAUGGGCGCAAGCCUGAUCCAGCCAUACCGCGUGGGUGAAGAAGGCCUUCGGGUUGUAAAGCCCUUUUGUUGGGAAAGAAAAGCAGCAGGUUAAUACCCCGCUGUUCUGACGGUACCCAAAGAAUAAGCACCGGCUAACUUCGUG